UACACAUGCAAGUCGAGGGGUAUAGUUCUUCGGGAUUAGAGACCGGCGCACGGGUGCGUAACGCGUAUGCAAUCUACCUUUCACAGAGGGAUAGCCCAGAGAAAUUUGGAUUAAUACCUCAUAGUAUAUAGACCUGGCAUCAGGAUUAUAUUAAAGUCACAACGGUGAAAGAUGAGCAUGCGUCCCAUUAGCUAGUUGGUAAGGUAACGGCUUACCAAGACUACGAUGGGUAGGGGUCCUGAGAGGGAGAUCCCCCACACUGGUACUGAGACACGGACCAGACUCCUACGGGAGGCAGCAGUGAGGAAUAUUGGACAAUGGGCGCAAGCCUGAUCCAGCCAUGCCGCGUGCAGGAUGACGGUCCUAUGGAUUGUAAACUGCUUUUAUACGAGAAGAAACCCUCCGACGUGUCGGAGCUUGACGGUAUCGUAAGAAUAAGGAUCGGCUAACUCCGUGCCAGCAGCCGCGGUAAUACGGAGGAUCCAAGCGUUAUCCGGAAUCAUUGGGUUUAAAGGGUCCGUAGGCGGUUUAGUAAGUCAGUGGUGAAUGCCCAUCGCUCAACGGUGGAACGGCCAUUGAUACUGCUAGACUUGAAUUAUUAGGAAGUAACUAGAAUAUGUAGUGUAGCGGUGAAAUGCUUGGAGAUUACAUGGAAUACCAAUUGCGAAGGCAGGUUACUACUAAUGGAUUGACGCUGAUGGACGAAAGCGUGGGUAGCGAACAGGAUUAGAUACCCUGGUAGUCCACACCGUAAACGAUGGAUACUAGCUGUUGGGAGCAAUCUCAGUGGCUAAGCGAAAGUGAUAAGUAUCCCACCUGGGGAGUACGUUCGCAAGAAUGAAACUCAAAGGAAUUGACGGGGGCCCGCGCAAGCGGUGGAGCAUGUGGUUUAAU
rnacentral:rRNA from 1 species